GUAGGUGGCAAGCGUUGUCCGGAAUUAUUGGGCGUAAAGCGCGCGCAGGCGGUUCUUUAAGUCUGAUGUGAAAGCCCACGGCUCAACCGUGGAGGGUCAUUGGAAACUGGAGAACCUGAGUACAGAAGAGGAAAGCGGAAUUCCACGUGUAGCGGUGAAAUGCGUAGAGAUGUGGAGGAACACCAGUGGCGAAGGCGGCUUUCUGGUCUGUAACUGACGCUGAGGCGCGAAAGCGUGGGGAGCAAACAGGGAUUAGAUACCCUGGUAGUCCACGCCGUAAACGAUGAGUGCUAAGUGUUAGGGGGUUUCCGCCCCCUUAGUGCUGCAGCUAACGCAUUAAGCACUCCGCCUGGGGAGUACGGCCGCAAGGCUG
rnacentral:rRNA from 1 species